rnacentral:lncRNA from 1 species
CUUAGCGAGCUAUUCUGUUUUUUCAUUUGUUUUUUAUUCAUUUGCAUAUACCCCUUUUUUUUUAUUAGGCAAAGUAUCUCUUAACUGCAUCUGAAUUCACAGGACGAGUGAAAUCCUCCCCAUCCAUUGUUGUAAGCAUCAAAGCACCGCCUGAAAAGGCUCUCUUAACAACAUAUGGACCCUCGUAGUUUGGAGUCCACUUGCCCCUGGAAUCGGGCGCGAAAGACAA